UAUAGUAGCAAUACUAGAGACCGGCGCACGGGUGCGUAACGCGUAUGCAAUCUACCUUAUACAGAGGGAUAGCCCAGAGAAAUUUGGAUUAAUACCUCAUAGCAUAGCAACUUCGCAUGAAGUCACUAUUAAAGUUCCAACGGUAUAAGAUGAGCAUGCGUCCUAUUAGCUAGAUGGUAAGGUAACGGCUUACCAUGGCUACGAUAGGUAGGGGUCCUGAGAGGGAGAUCCCCCACACUGGUACUGAGACACGGACCAGACUCCUACGGGAGGCAGCAGUGAGGAAUAUUGGACAAUGGGCGCAAGCCUGAUCCAGCCAUGCCGCGUGCAGGAAGACGCAUCUAUGGUGUGUAAACUGCUUUUGUACGGGAAGAAACACUCCCUCGUGAGGGAGCUUGACGGUACCGUAAGAAUAAGGAUCGGCUAACUCCGUGCCAGCAGCCGCGGUAAUACGGAGGAUCCAAGCGUUAUCCGGAAUCAUUGGGUUUAAAGGGUCCGUAGGCGGUUUGGUAAGUCAGUGGUGAAAGCCCAUCGCUUAACGAUGGAACGGCCAUUGAUACUGCCAGACUUGAAUUACUGGGAAGUAACUAGAAUAUGUAGUGUAGCGGUGAAAUGCUUAGAUAUUACAUGG
rnacentral:rRNA from 1 species